GGAGUAUGUGGUUUAAUUCGAUGCAACGCGAAGAACCUUACCUGGUCUUGACAUCCCGGAGACCCUUAGGAAACUAGGGGGUACGUUCCAUCUGGAAGAAUCUGGAGACAGGUGCUGCAUGGCUGUCGUCAGCUCGUGUCGUGAGAUGUUGGGUUAAGUCCCGCAACGAGCGCAACCCUUGCCUUUAGUUGCCAGCAGUUCGGCUGGGCACUCUAAAGGGACUGCCGGUGUUAAACCGGAGGAAGGUGGGGAUGACGUCAAGUCCUCAUGGCCUUUAUGACCAGGGCUACACACGUACUACAAUGGCCGAUACAAAGGGCAGCGACACUGCGAGGUGAAGCCAAUCCCGUAAAAUCGGUCUCAGUCCGGAUUGGAGUCUGCAACUCGACUCCAUGAAGUUGGAAUCGCUAGUAAUCGUGGAUCAGCAUGCCACGGUGAAUACGUUCCCGGGCCUU
rnacentral:rRNA from 1 species